AUUGAACGCUGGCGGCAGGCCUAACACAUGCAAGUCGAACGAGUGGCGGACGGGUGAGUAAUGUCUGGGAAACUGCCCGAUGGAGGGGGAUAACUACUGGAAACGGUAGCUAAUACCGCAUACCAUCGGAUGUGCCCAGAUGGGAUUAGCUUGUAGGUGAGGUAACGGCUCACCUAGGCGACGAACCCUAGCUGGUCUGAGGUGAUGACCAGCUAAACUGGAACGGUGCCAGGGUCCAGACUCCGACGGUAGGCAGCGGUGGGGAAUAUUGGACAGUGGGCGCAAGCCGGAUGCAGCCAUGCCGCGUGUAUGAGGAAGGCCUUCGGUUUGUAAGGUACUUGCAGCGGGGAGGCGUUACUCGCAGAAGAAGCACCGGCUAACGCCGUGCCAGCAGCCGCGGUAAUAC
rnacentral:rRNA from 1 species